rnacentral:lncRNA from 1 species
GCAAACUCCUUUUGCCAGGGCCAGCUAGUACAGAUUUUAGGUUUUUUGGGCUCUGCAGUCUCUGUCACAACUACUCAACUUGGAAUUGUUCCUAUAAAUUUUAUAAAAUUAAUCAGGGAAGAAGGGAAGGGGAGAAAUGAAAAUAAACCAAGCUUGCAACACAUUUGGCAUUAAUCAUGAGGUCAGCCUGCUCUCUGUCCUGCUUCUUCAUAUUUGCUGCCUCAGGUUUUAAUGAAUAACUUGGCAAUCUUGCCUUGGGUUCCUUGACAUUCUCAACCUUGGUGUCCUUUAUUUUCUACUCUCUUCAGAAUUGCACCCCAUGGAAACACCUCAGAGCUUGUCAUCACCCGACCUGGUCGCUGCCCAGAGUCUUA